GCGUAUCAGAAGUGGGUGAGAGAUCACGGUCCAGAGAGACCCCUGCCUGGUCUCAAGUACACACACGAACAAUUACUCUUCAUAGCCUUUGCUCAGAACUGGUGCAUGAAGAGGCGGUCCCAGUCCAUAUACCUCCAGCUACUGACAGACAAACAUGCUCCUGAACACUGCAGGGUGAUCGGCAGUGUGUCUCAGUUUGAGGAGUUCGGCCGUGUGUUCCACUGUCCCCGUGGCACUCCCAUGAACCCCC